GCGAGCAGGAGAGGAACUGGGGUGAGCAAGUGCCGUGGCUGUGGCUGCUUCCUGUUUCAGCAAGGCAGCUGCGUAAAAGGCGAGAGAACCUCGAAGGGAAAUGCUGAGGGGCCCAGAGCCACGGACUGAGAUCACCCCACCCGAGGCCAGAGCCGAGGUCUGCCCGUAGCCGGGAUGCUUUCCUGAGCUGCUGGCGCUGCAGCCGGGGACCCGAGGUGGGGAAGGCGCUGAGGACCCAGCAGAGGGAGCAGUUCCAGAAAGCACGACAGCAGCAGUUUUUCAGACUGAGGCACCUGGAGGUGGAGGAGAAAGGCCAGGCAGAGCGCUCGCAGACCAGGCAGCCAGGUUCCUCCAGGGCAGGACAGGCACCUGACCUCAAGGAGCCCUGGCCUUGGGCCAACAGGAUCUCUUCCCCUGGACAGCAGGUGUCCGGGACCAGCGCCGAGGUCUUUCCAGCCCAGCGGCAUCCUCCCUCGGGCGCCCGGAGAGACUCUGCCGUCCAGAAGCUGCCCAAACAGCACCGCGGCACUCAGACGAAGGCAGAAGAAACACAGCCAACGACUAAGAACGAUGCCAGCCAGCAAACCAAUUACGGAGUUGCGGUCCUGGAUAAGGUAAGACGAGGCGUUGGAUCGGAUGGCACCUAAGCUCCUCCAAGCGCUGGCAUUCUGGAAUUCCGCGGUAAAUGCAGCGGGGGUGGACGGGCACCCCCCUCCUGAACAAGCAGAGACAUGGGGCCUGGGGGGACCCUGAGCCAAGGCAGAAAGUUUACUCGGCCCAAGCCAAUGGCGGCUCUGGUUCCAGUUCCAGGAUUGCAGAGUCCCCACACACUCCUUUUCUUUCUCUCCAGGAAAUCAUCCAGCUUUCUGAGUACCUCAAAGAGGCCCUGCACAGGGAGCUGGUUCUGAAACAGAAGAUGGUGAUUCUCCAGGACCUGCUCUCCACUCUGAUUCAGGCUUCUGACAGCUCUUGGAAGGUAAGGGAAUGAAAUCUUUGUCUGAACGAGGCUCCUGGGCCUCCGUGUGUCCCCGCUUCAUCCUUCUUUGCAAACCACCCAGCAAGGGAAGAGGCUCUCUCACUCCUGAAGAGGCCGGGGAUGAUAAGACACGUCACAGUCCGUAUGUGGAGAUGAGUCCAGGGCCACCACGGAGGGCCAUGCCGCUACACACCCAGGGAAGGCCCAGAACCAAAAGGAGAACGUGUCCGUUUGGGAAAAAAAAAGUUAGAUCCAGUUCAGAGCACCGAUACUACGACUGACUCCGGGAAACGUGCACUAGUUUCGUAGGGGGCGCGCCCCGGCGUUCACUCCAAGCCGUCAGGGACCCACGCCUCGGGCCAGACGCGGACGUCGAAGGGGAGGCACCUUAAAGAUCACCCAGGCUACUGCUCGUAGUCCCCCUCGGGGAAACGGAGAGUCAGACGGGUCGGGGACUCAUCCGAAGUCACGCUGCUAAAGUUCAGGCCUCCCGAUUUUAGUCCAUCCAUUCAACGAACAGCUGCAGAGCAGGGUCUCUGCCCGAGCCCUGGAAGUCAUGAGACAGGGUUCCUGCUUUGAGAGAGCUUCUGGGUUUGUCAGGGAGACACAUACCCAAGCAACGCAGAGAUGAGAGAGAGAAAAAAAGAUGUUUUCAAGAUAUAGCAGAAUACAAGGAGAAAUGAAUGACUCCAGACGGGGGAGAAUCAGGGAACUACGGAAUGGUUAUACUAAUACCUUCCAGGCAAGUGUGCAAACGGGAACCAUGCUCUCGGCAGAGGAGAAAACGCAAAGACCCAGAGGCAGCGCAUAGUCCAGUGCAACAGGGUUCCCGCUUUUCAAUCUCAGGGUCCCUUUAUAGUCUUUCAAAAAGUUAUUAAAACCCAAAGAACUUUUUUCUUUUGCUUUGUUGGCCACAUCUACAGCAUGAGGAAACGCCCGGGCUGGGGAUCAAACCCAGGCCCCAGAGCGACAAGGCCAAGUCCUUAACUGCCAGGCCACCGAGGAACUCCCCCAAAGAAUUUUUAUAUUUACCAUUUAGAAAUGAAUAUGUAUUAAUUUUAAAAUAACAAUAGUAAAUCCAUUACAUGUGAACCUAAACUAUGUAUUUUUAUGAAAAGAAAAAAGUUUUUUUUUAAGUAGUGAGAGGAGUGCCAUUGUUUUAUGCUUUUGCAAAACUCUUUACUGUCUGAACGGAAGACAGCUAAAGUCUCAUAUUUGGGUCUGCGUUCAGUCUGUUAAUACACUGUUUGGGUUGAAGCAUCUGAGGAAAAUCCACCCUCACAGAGCCAUGAAGCUGGAAAGGGAAGGCCCUGUGAUCCUGGAUAUUCCCAGGAGCCCUUGAACCCCAGGCUGGAAUGUUCAGGGAGCUAUAAGCAGUUUGAUGCCACCAAAGCAGAACGCUCUAAGCAUCUUUGAUGCACAGAGAGAACACGCAACCUUACGGGCCUCUGUGCACAACUGACCUUACCACCCAGGGGGCUGUGCUUAGAGAGACAGGACGGGAGGGGGUGGAACAAAACAGAACUUUGCAGGGAUGUAAAACAGGCUUCUGGGGUCCUCCCUCCGCACGUCGGUCCCGGUACCCAGCUUGAGGUGUCUAUGUUUGGGGCUGCUGCUCAUGAAGGAGUUGUUUCCCUGGCAGACUGGGAGCCAGAAGCAGACAGCUGGGCGUGCCAGGUGGUUUCCGGUGCUGAACGGAACUGAGAUGGUCUCACCCGUUUAUGCAGCAGACAUCUGCUAAGUUCCAACUGUGCUACAGGGACGGAGAGGACUUUGAGGAGUUCCCCCAUCAGCCAGGAAGAGAGAGCCAAGCGAUAAAUAACUCUACUGCACUGUCCUAAAGCCGGCAGAGCACUUCCCACAAAGGGACACAGAGAAAGGAGGAAGGAGCAGCCGUUCAGCCCGAGGUGGAACAGGGGAGGCGCCAAAGGAGAGGAGCACGUUAGCUGGGCCUGGAAGGACCGAGGAGGAGUUCUGCGGCGUGGAAGCAGCACGAAGAGGGCAAGACGGGCAGGAAAGGCAAAGGGUGUUGAGGGUCCCGCAGUCGGAAUGAUUACAGCCUGUGUGUAACACACUCCUGAGUGUCGCAGAGCCUGAUGGAGCUGAAGGGAUCGAGUCAGGGCACCUCCAACAGUGACACAAAGGGCCUCAGACAGGUCUCAGGAAUUAAGGCACCCAAACACUUCCUGUUGAAUGUGGGAUCUCAAACUUAAAUAUUUACACAGAUUCCCUUGUAAAGGAAAUUCCUAUAUAUCACGGACCCCUGAGAAUGCAGGCCGCCCUGGUUUGAAAAGCACUGCUGCAGGCAACGAGCAGGGCGGGAAUGGGACCAGGCUCUCCUCGGCCUGAAAGUCAAGCUGGUCUCGUCGAGGUACGAAGACGGCUGUGGACGGAGGGGGAAGCGCUUGGUCAGAUCUGUGUUUUUAAAGGUUCUCUGACAACAGUGAGGACCCUGGCUCUGAGUGGACAGGUGGUGGCGAAAGCUCUUGCAUCCCAGGUGAGACCGAUCAGAGCUUGCGUGACAGCCAGUGUGGAGCGAAUGGGGCGGAAGAUGUAAGAGACACUUCUGCGCCGGAUCGGAGGGCAGCUCGGCUCCAGCUCCAGCUCAGGAGCAGGUCCCCCGCUGGGGCUGUGCCUCUCUCCCUCCCCUGUGCUCCUCCCUCACACCCGCCCUUCUCGUCUUCUUCCUCUCCAACAACCCCCCAGCUUCCUGUUUUUAAGAAAAACAGGCUCAGAGUUUUCAGUUAACGUCUCUUGCUUCCCCCAAAACAAGACGAUUCGACCCCGUACCCUUCCCGUGGAAACCUCAACCUCAAUGGAAAGACGGUCUCAGGCAGCAGUAUUUGGGAAAAGGAAUUGGAAGAUGUGGCCAGAACACAGAUGCUAAUACUCAGCCAAGUUCAGGCCUUCUUUUGUCCUCCAUCUGGCCUCCAUGAUUUGACUCUCCAACCUCUCUGGCAGAGAAGCUCACUGCAAACUCUGCUGAAAGCCAGGGGUCCACUCCCUCUAUUGUCUCCACCUCCGUGCUGACUUUGGCCUUUGGGGUGUGAUGGGCCUGGGGCAAUGCAGAGGCUCCUAAGCCGGGUCCAAGCUUCAAUGCAGAAACAGUUCCGGCAGUAGAGAAAGCCAGCCCUCAGGACGGGGCAACGGAAAACCCAGAGCAGGGCACACUUGGCUCUGAAGUCUUGCAAAGUGGAAAUGAGAUCUCGAGAUGACAGUGCAGCAGGGGAUUGGCUGCAAGCCCUAAGCAACCUAUGCUGGAGAGAGGCGAGCCGUGGGCUGGCGCAUCUGCGGUGAGGUGGGUGCAUUUCUGGAGAGCAGGUCAGAGGCGGGGAGAGCCAGGCAGAAGCAGGAGCUGAAGCCCUUAGACCGGCACCAGGUGUGUAUGGCCUCCACCUGCUCCUCUUACAACCGGGGUCCUGUGCUCACUAAGCCUUGGGUUCCCGGGAUGCAACUGCCAAAAAAAGAGUCCACAAUAGGCCUGAAAAAGUGCCUCUCCCCCUGCCGUACCACCGGGCUUCUUGGGGGAAGCUGGGGCCCAGACCAGGAAGCUUCAUGCGCCAUGUGCAACAAGUGGCUGCACUUUCCUGCCUGCCUUGGGGAGUCUGGGAAGGAAGAGCUGUGGACCAGAGAUGUUUUCUAGGCCCAGACGUGGGUGGCCCUUCAUCCCCACUGAAGGGGCUAUCCUGAAUUGUCUUCUAUCACAACAUGAAUGGAAAAGUAAUAUGGGGUGUGGCUAAAACCCAAAAACAGCUGGAAGAGGCAAAACUAUGGGAUUGCAACCAUCCAAGUAAGGAGAACGGGGCUGCCCUAAGGGCAGGCGUCUGAGGGGAGGGUAAGAACGUUGCCUUGAGCUUGCCUGUUUCUUCCCAAACCAGAGCAAGAGAAACCCUCAAACUCAGUGGGUCUGGCUGCAUCCUGCAUGGUCAGAGUUUUUAUGCAAAGGAAAACACACAGACCUGAACCAGGGGCUGGGGUGCUGAGGGAGGCGAUUUAGGGACCCAUGGAUCAACAAUGAACAGGCUACUCAGGGGAGCAGCUCUUCCCAGUUACUCCACCUCUUUGUCCACCUCUGCAUCUGUCUGGGCUUGUUGCAGCUGCCAAGUCCCUGACUCUCGGCUCUCGCAUGAGACAUUAGGAAAAACAGUAACAGCAAGACGCACUUUGAAAAAUUAUUUUUGGCAACGCUGUUAGCUUUUGCAAGGCGCAGCUGAGUAACACAGGAAGCAGAAGGGUGGGGGCGCCCCCUGGCUCCCAUGGUUCGAAGAAUCGGCCAAACAAGAUCAAAACAGGAGCUGGGAGAUACCACUUCCUGCCUCUUUCCCCUCCCCGGUCAUGCCCGGAAACUCACAGUGGGGUAUGAGCCUCAGAACAGUCUCCUUUGCCCCCGGGGCAUCUCAGACCAGAAACCACAGAAGGGUUGGAAACGUCCAAGCAGCCUGACAAAGGGGCCGUGGCUCUCACGCCUGGGGAGAAAUGCAAUUCCUGCACCUCUCAGGUGUCCCAUCGGGCCUGGUUGGCAGAGGCAGAGAAAGGACAUGAAACCGAUGACGGCUAAAGAGACUGUCCGUCUGUUUUCUGGGAAACUAGCUCCCACCCUUGCAGCCUCCCUGUCCUCCACCUACACACACACACACACACACACACACACACACACACGCACACGACCUUCGAUCCAAACCCCUACAGCCUCCCUGUCCUCCACCUCCCACACACACACACACACACACACACACACACACACACACGACCUUCGAUCCAAACCCCUACAGCCUCCCUGUCCUCCACCUCCACACACACACACACACACACACACACACACACACACGACCUUCGAUCCAAACCCCUACAGCCUCCCUGUCCUCCACCUCCCCACACACACACACACACACACACACACACACACACACACGACCUUCGAUCCAAACCCCUACUUGGGAAACUGUCUACAAGACCAGAGCAGCAAGGGAGCUGCCAGCUACGCAGCAGAGAGGCCAAACCUGAGACACAGACGCAGCCUUGCUGCCUUCCUCCGCCCUCGCCACCCUCUCGGAGGAUCCAAAAUGCCACUGGAGCGACCCAGCUCGUGGAUGAACAGAAUGUGCCUUUCUGGGAAGUCCUCUUACUGCUACUGCCACCAACACACACACACACCCCUGCCUUAAUGUCCCUCCUUCCUGCUUUCUUAAACAACUUCUCCUCUUGAAUCAUGGGGGGAUGGAAGGGCGGCAAGGAGGGGACUGAUUCCACUUGCCAAGGCUGCUGUAAGACAGUAUCACAGACUGGGUGGCUUAACCAACAGAAAUGUAUUUUCUCACAGUUACUGGAGGAUGGAAGCGUGAGAUGGAGGUGUGGACAGGGUGGGUUUCCUCUGAGGCCCAUCUCCUUGGCGUGCAGACGGCUGCCUUCUCCCUGGGUCCCACACAGUCCUCCCUCUGCGUGUCCUGGCGUCUGCGUCUCCUCUUCUCAUGAGGACACAGUUGUACUGGAUUAGGGCCCACCCCAGGGACCCCGUUUUAACUUAAUUACUCCUUUAAAGACCCUGUGUCCAAACGCAGUGCAUUCUGAGGUUCUGGGGGCUAGGAGGUCACCACGCGAACUCUGGAGGGAGGUGAGGAGGUAUAACAGGGGGUAAGGGAGGGAAUGUAUGUUCCUCCUGGGAGAAGAGACCCCUUUGGUCUUAUUGGCCUUUAGAGGUCAAGGUCCAUGUACAGGACGGAGAGGAGGUGAGGAGUACAGAGGUGCCCAGACAGACAGGGGAGAGGUGAUGAAGGGAGGAGAGGAGAGCUUAGACGCUUUCCUUCCACGGACUCCUGCUAUGAUACCCUGCGCCACGUGAUAGAAAAACCUCAAGGGACACGGACGACUCUGGGGACCAGGACGAUUCUUCCGUCUCCUAUUCCAGAGAGACAGUCUUUGUCGUCUUUCCCUAUCCCCUAAAACACCACAGAUCAUAUUCCAGGCAGCAGGCUGGGAAUACAGAACAAAAGUCCUUGCAUGCUACAUUUUGGCCAAACUCACUAACCCAUCCCUUCUGCUCCAGGGCCAGCUUAAUGAAGACAAAUUGAAGGGCAAACUGAGAUCCUUAGAAAACCAGCUGUACACCUGUACCCAGAACUACUCCCCCAGGGGAAUGAAGAAGGUGAUAUUAGAGAUGGAAGACCAGAAACACAGCUAUGAGCAGAAGGCCAAGGAGUCACUGCAGAAAGUGCUGGAGGAGAAAAUGAGUGCAGAACAGCAGCUGCAGAGCACACAGCGGUCCCUGGCUCUGGCCGAGCAGAAGUGUGAAGAGUGGAGGAGCCAGUACGAGGCUCUGAAGGAGGACUGGAGGACCCUGGGGACCCAGCACAGAGAGCUGGAGAGCCAGCUUCACGUGCUGCAGUCCAAACUGCAGGGGGCAGACAGUAGAGAUCUGCAGAUGAACCAGGCCCUGCGACUCUUGGAGAACGAGCACCAAGAGCUGCAGGCCAAGAUUGCGCGCCUGCAGGGGGACAGAGACCUGUGCAGCUCGGACACCCAGCACCUACAAGAUCAGCUACAGAAGUCAGAGGAAGAGAAACUCGCCCUGGUGACUAAAGUACAGCAGCUGCAGAGUCUUCUUCAGAGUCAAUCCUUACAGCUCCAGGAACAGGAGAAACGCUUGACAAAGAAAGGUCAGCAAAUUUAUUUCCACAAAUUCUGAGACAGUGCCCUUUCCUUGCCUUUCUAGAGGCCGUGGGAGGGGCCACAGGACCCCUUGGAGUCCCAUCCGCUUCCGAAGCUGUUGGGUCAGGGCGCUAAGGGAGUGUUUUAAGGACCCACCACUGGCUCGGAGAACACUUUAGCUAGUGAGCCUUCUAUCCUGAGAAGUAUAUAAACUUUGAAAAAGGAUUUCUACUCCCUCCAACAAACGUGUCUGUGGAACAUUUCAAUAAAUGGAUUUUGAACUCAGGAUUUUAUGUCAGUUUUUACAUUUGACUUUCCAAACCAUAUCCAGCACCCCAAGUAUAACCAACCCAUCACACGCAACAGUCACCUCACUCUCAGCCCUCAGGGUCUGCUGCCUUGGCAUCCCAAGGAUUCUUCAUAUACCUGGAGUGGGCAAACACGCCUCACUUAUCCAGAGCACAGGGCCUUCUGUUUUCUCAUCACAGUCACUGGGUGAAAGAUAAGGCAGAAGUGAUCAUGCCCACACAGGAUGGAUUGGAAAAUGAAGGUCUGUGGUCACGUGAAUUAAGAGUACAGCUAUGACAACACUCCAGGAUUUCUGACUCCUAGUCCUGUGCUCUUUUCACCAAGAUUCAAACUGCCACGUAGCUGAAAACAUCUUUAACUACAUGGAGAUGAAUUCUAGGCUAUGACUGCCAUUCUCGUAUUUUGAAAUGAGAACACAAGGAAAAGCAGCGAUACUGAAGCAUCCAGCAAACCCACCAGACUAAAAGAUGGGGCAUGCGACCAAAGAAAUUAAAUUAAUAGGUAUUUCCCAAAAGGAUCCGGCAUUUAACAGUUAAGAUGCCCACCUUGCCCUCGAGGGGCUCAAAUUCCAGCUUUCUGUCCAGGCUGAGCAGGGUCCCCAUGGGAGUCUUUAAAAGUCACGAGAACUGCAUUCCGCACAGCCCGACAGGGACAGGCCCUUCUCUGUCCCCCUAGGGGUUCUCAGUGGCGGGGCCCUUGCUCAGAGGUGCGGGCCUCACCGUCACGGAGAACCUGGCCCCUUUUUUAGAUCAGGCUCUGGAGUGGAGUCCAAAGCCCUCCCAGAACGAAGUGGAGCCUGAGGGUCCAGGGAAGGAGAAAGACUGGGAUUUCAGAGACCAGCUCCAAGAGAAAACGUUGCAGCUCCUGGCCAAGGAAAAGGAGUGCAGGGACCUGCAUUCGGAACUAGACAACCUCAGUGACGAGUACCUCUCCUGCCUGCGCAAGCUGCAGCGCUGUCGAGAAGAGCUGAGCCUGGGCCAGCGGCCACCUCCCACAAGACAGUGUGGUCGAUGGCUCCCCGCGCUGAUGGUACUGACUGCUAUGGCACUGGCAGUGUUCCUGGCCCACAAGGACAGCCUGAUGAUCUGAAUAACUGGUGACAGCUGCCGGGGCUGAAAAUCAGAGGCAAGAAACGCCACAAAAAGACUCAGAAGGCUUGAGUACCUUUAAAGGUUUGGGUUUGUCCAAUUCACUGAGAUUUCUGACUUUAUUGUUUUUCUACUCUGCUGUAACAACAAACAAAUAAACUUCACCUGACAGUC